rnacentral:rRNA from 1 species
UACGUAGGUGGCAAGCGUUGUCCGGAUUUACUGGGCGUAAAGGAUGCGUAGGUGGCUGUUUAAGUCAGAUGUGAAAUACCCGAGCUUAACUUGGGUGCUGCAUUUGAAACUGGAUAUCUAGAGUGCAGGAGAGGUAAGUGGAAUUCCUAGUGUAGCGGUGAAAUGCGUAGAGAUUAGGAAGAACACCAGUGGCGAAGGCGACUUACUGGACUGUAACUGACACUGAGGCAUGAAAGCGUGGGUAGCAAACAGG